AGAAACAGACAUCUCUGCUGGGAAACCCUCUUAGCAGAGUGGAGCAGAGCUCAGCUGUAGUGGCUCUCUGUUGGAGAGGAGCAGGAUUGCCACAUCCUGUAGGGAGACCAUCCCCCACCAGAACCAAGCUUCAGCCUCAAACCUCUUCUUCCUGCUGUGAGUCAAGAUGUGUGGACUCUCAGCUACUUCUCCAGCACUGUGUCUGUUUGCAUGCCACAGUGUCACGCCAUGAUAAUGGACUAAACUUCUGAAAACUGCUUGGGACUUCUUCUCUUCAACUAACAGGACCAUGGGCCUGAAAGUUCCAAAGGUCAAUUUCUAAAUGGAAGACAUAGCUGGAUCAUGUGUCAUUCUGAGAAUCAUGGCCAUGUUGUUCAUGAUGUGUCAACAAUUCUUGAUGGAUAUCAAAGAGG